GCCGAUGUGGUGGAACUGGUAGACACGCAUGCUUCAGGUGCAUGUGCUCGCAAGAGUGUGUGGGUUCAAGUCCCACCAUCGGUACAA
rnacentral:tRNA from 1 species